rnacentral:rRNA from 1 species
GUGGGGAAUAUUGGGCAAUGGGCGAAAGCCUGACCCAGCAACGCCGCGUGAGGGAAGAAGGCCUUCGGGUUGUAAACCUCUGUCCUUGGUGACGAAGAAAUUGACGGUAACCAAGGAGGAAGCCCCGGCUAACUACGUGCCAGCAGCCGCGGUAAUACGUAGGGGGCAAGCGUUGUCCGGAAUGACUGGGCGUAAAGGGCGUGUAGGCGGCCGAUUAAGUCUGGAGUGAAAGUCCUGCUUUCAAGGUGGGAAUUGCUUUGGAGACUGGUUGGCUUGAGUGCGGAAGAGGUAAGUGGAAUUCCCAGUGUAGCGGUGAAAUGCGUAGAGAUUGGGAGGAACACCAGUGGCGAAGGCGACUUACUGGGCCGUAACUGACGCUGAGGCGCGAAAGCGUGGGGAGCGAACAGGAUUAGAAACCCGUGUAGUCC